UACGGGGGGGGCAAGCGUUGUUCGGAAUUACUGGGCGUAAAGGGCUCGUAGGCGGCCAACUAAGUCAGACGUGAAAUCCCUCGGCUUAACCGGGGAACUGCGUCUGAUACUGGAUGGCUUGAGUUUGGGAGAGGGAUGCGGAAUUCCAGGUGUAGCGGUGAAAUGCGUAGAUAUCUGGAGGAACACCGGUGGCGAAGGCGGCAUCCUGGACCAACACUGACGCUGGGGAGCGAAAGCCAGGGGAGCAAACGGG
rnacentral:rRNA from 1 species